UUCUAAACCCGGUAGUAGCGGCAGCUCCCGAUUCUUGACCGAUAAAUCGGCACUAAAUUAGCAUCGGCACUAAAUUAGCAUCGGGGCUAUAGCGAAUAACGGGACUGCUG
rnacentral:sRNA from 1 species